AUCCAGCUGACGAGUCCCAAAUAGGAUGAAACGUGCGUCAACUGGAU
rnacentral:hammerhead_ribozyme from 1 species